UGGCCCUUUAAGAUGAUACAACCAGCCAUAGCAUAGUUCACACUGAAAACCCGUGUUGAUAACCAUUCAUCUUGUCUUUCGCUCCUAUCUGACAUUGCUG
rnacentral:snoRNA from 1 species